rnacentral:rRNA from 1 species
GAUGAACGCUGGCGGCGUGCCUAAUACAUGCAAGUCGAGCGAACAGACGUGGAGCUUGCUCCUCUGACGUUAGCGGCGGACGGGUGAGUAACACGUGGAUAACCUACCUAUAAGACUGGGAUAACUUCGGGAAACCGGAGCUAAUACCGGAUAUAUAUUGAACCGCAUGGUUCAAUAGUGAAAGACGGUUUUGCUGUCACUUAUAGAUGGAUCCGCGCCGCAUUAGCUAGUUGGUAAGGUAACGGCUUACCAAGGCAACGAUGCGUAGCCGACCUGAGAGGGUGAUCGGCCACACUGGAACUGAGACACGGUCCAGACUCCUACGGGAGGCAGCAGUAGGGAAUCUUCCGCAAUGGGCGAAAGCCUGACGGAGUAACGCCGCGUGAGUGAUGAAGGUCUUCGGAUCGUAAAACUCUGUUAUUAGGGAAGAACAAAUGUGUAAGUAACUAUGCACGUCUUGACGGUACCUAAUCAGAAAGCCACGGCUAACUACGUG